AAUCAACGCUGGCGGCGUGCCUCAGACAUGCAAGUCGAACGAUUAAAGCUCUCUUCGGAGAGUGUAUAGAGUGGCGCACGGGUGAGUAACACGUAAGUAAUCUACCCUCGAGUGGGGAAUAACAUCGGGAAACCGAUGCUAAUACCGCAUAAUGCAGCGGCACCGCAAGGUGACAGUUGUUAAAGAUUUAUCGCUUGAGGAGGAGCUUGCGGCAGAUUAGCUAGUUGGUAAGGUAAUGGCUUACCAAGGCUACGAUCUGUAACCGGUCUAAGAGGACGGUCGGUCACACUGACACUGAAUAACGGGUCAGACUCCUACGGGAGGCAGCAGUCGGGAAUUUUGGGCAAUGGGCGAAAGCCUGACCCAGCAACGCCGCGUGAAGGAUAGAAGUAUUCGGUAUGUAAACUUCGAAAGAAUAGGAAGAAUAAAUGAC
rnacentral:rRNA from 1 species